rnacentral:rRNA from 1 species
AGUGAACGCUGGCGGUAGGCCUAACACAUGCAAGUCGAACGGCAGCACAGUAAGAGCUUGCUCUUACGGGUGGCGAGUGGCGGACGGGUGAGGAAUACAUCGGAAUCUACUUUUUCGUGGGGGAUAACGUAGGGAAACUUACGCUAAUACCGCAUACGACCCACGGGUGAAAGCAGGGGAUCUUCGGACCUUGCGCGAUUGAAUGAGCCGAUGUCGGAUUAGCUAGUUGGCGGGGUAAAGGCCCACCAAGGCGACGAUCCGUAGCUGGUCUGAGAGGAUGGUCAGCCACACUGGAACUGAGACACGGUCCAGACUCCUACGGGAGGCAGCAGUGGGGAAUAUUGGACAAUGGGCGCAAGCCUGAUCCAGCCAUACCGCGUGGGUGAAGAAGGCCUUCGGGUUGUAAAGCCCUUUUGUUGGGAAAGAAAAGCAGCAGGUUAAUACCCCGCUGUUCUGACGGUACCCAAAGAAUAAGCACCGGCUAACUUCGUG